AUGUCUCAGGCUGUGCAAACAAAUGGAUCUCAACCAUUAACCAAAACAUGAGUGUUCAGUUUAUAUGAAUGAAAACAAACACCUGAAGAGGCAGUAACAGAUGGCUUAGAAAUUGUGGCUUCACCUCAAAGUCUACAGAGUGAAAUAAGGUCUAAUUUGUUUGGAUGUGUUGAAAGACACCAUGACCAUAAAGGAGUGUUUACAUCAUUUUUGUGCAGUCUGCAUCAUCACAGUCCUUAGAAAUGACAGCAAAAAACACCCUACCUGUCAAAAAAAAAAUCUAGUUUCCAAAAGAUCACUAAAGGGAUCCUUCAGCUCUUGGUGGUGUCAGCAGUGGGCUCAAUGUUAGGGAUGCCAGAAAAUGCCACAGGGUGGGAAAGGAAAAAAAGAGCUAGGGCUAACAAAAAUGAGGUGGGGUGGUAGGCAAAGAAUUGGGAAGGGCCUUGUAAGCCUUAUACUUUAGUCUAAAAUGUUUGAUGCACUCAUCAGCAAAAUUUACCCACGUCGUGAUGAGUAUGAAGCUCUUGGAGAGAGAGUAUUAGCCAGCAUCCACAAGCACAGUAAUCAGUGAGCACUCAGUCUCAGCUUUGAAGAAGGACUGAAAGCACCAGUCAGGAGCAGAUUAUAGUGAGGCAAGAAACAAUAGACUGAAAAUGGUAGCAGAGAAGAAGAGAAGAAUGCUGACGGUUUGCACUGUCGUGAUGCAUCCACACAGAACAACAAGGAAACAGGCCAUAGUCACAAAUGGAACAAAACAUCUGCUGAUUCUGGGCUUGAGCUUGAUAUUGACAAUGCAACAUUUGCCAUUGAUUCAGAAAUGGACGGUGGUAGUGAGAUUGAAUUAGUAUUCAGGCCUCAACCUACAUUUAUGGAAAAGGAUGAUAGUGCACAGAUAAGAUACAUAAAGACUUCAGGUAACGCUGCUGUUGAUCACUUAUCCAGCUAUCUGACUGUGAGGUUAGCUUUAGAAGAACUUUGAAGCCAAGGUGCACAAAACCAGAUGAAC
rnacentral:lncRNA from 1 species